AUCAACUGUUCGUCCGGGAAGCCUGGGAGCACGGAGAAACAACCAACAGCGCACUCAGGCCCAGGAGCGGGAGGCGGAGCAGAGGGGGAGAGUAAGAAAAAAGGAGGGAAACUCCAGGGGGCAGCGCUGGAGCUCCAGGGAGAGAGAGAGGCAGCCGAAGGCCCUGGAAAAAGUGAAGGAGAGAGAACCUGCCUGAAGCCUGAGAAGAACAGGGCCGAUCAGGGACAGCCUAGGACAGGAGCCAGGAGGCGCACUGUGCCAGGGAGGAAUCGCCCAAGAAGACAGGCCGGAGCUGGACCCAGUAUCACUGCUGCCCAGAGCUGCAUGGGGCUGAGCACCCAAGAAUCACCACUGGACUGGAACUUUGCUCAGGACUCCUGAACUCUGUGUGCAGACACAUUGCUCGGUGUCUGACCUUCCAGACUGUACUACCACUGGGCCUGUGGGGCCUUGGCUGGAGGCAGCCCUAUUCUACUGCUCCCCCUAUAUUUCCCCUUGUUGUUUUUCUCCUCUCAUCCCUCUGUAAAUAAAUAUUUCCCUUUAUUA